rnacentral:antisense_RNA from 1 species
UUUCUAAGUCCAGACUGCUUCCCCUCCACUAGCUGGGGAGGGAGAGGCCAUAUGAGUGGAGGGACCUGUGGAGGAAAAAUUAUUAUUACUAUCUUGAUGUCCGCUGAACCAAAGUGGAUGGAAAUUUCUCAGGACAUAUUCAUCCAAACUACAAAAACAGGUCUACUUAAACUUUGAAAGAUGAGAUUGUUCAAAAAUGACACGAGAAAAUCACCCAUCACCACUAGGUUAAAGACUUGAAUAUGUGAGAGCUCCAGAGCCUCAAACUCCUACUACAGUCACUGAUCCAUAACAUUUUCCUCUUGCAAUAGACUCCACGCCAAAGUAGCACAGUCUUGCGGCAUGUUUGUGCACCAAAAAGUAGAUUUCGAAAGAUCCAGCACUAGUCAUCACUGUCACUGCCAGACUCACUCAACUGCAAGUCAUUUCCUAUUUAAAAAAAAAAAAAAAAAAAAGUAAAAUCGUAGAAUCAAACAAAAGUACAGAAUAUAAAAAUGACUUCCUCACAAUUUUUUGUUAAUUGCCUUGGCUAUCACACUACAGUAAAACCUUGUUAAUUCAACUUAGGGAAGAAAAUCAAAUUGGCUCACUGAAACAAAAUGGUGCUUUUGGUUAUCUACAAAGCACAACAAUACUGCAUAUUAGGGUAGAGCAAAGGAGAAGUAAGCUAGAUAACUUUUAAAUGGUUUAAUAAAUAGCAAGAAAAUAUUUAAAAUAUGUCUGGGCGCAGUGGCUCACACCUGUAAUCCCAGCACUUUGGGAGGCCAAGGCAGGGAGAUCAUUUGAGGCCAGGAGUUGGAGACCAGCCUGGCCAACAUGGCAAAACCUCAUCUCUACUAAAAAUACAAAAAUUAGCCAGGUGUGGUGGGACAAGCUUGUAAUCCCAGGUACUUGGGA